GUCGAACACAACUUUUUCCAGAAGUUUAUUAAGGGUUGGUAACAGGCUGAUUGGUCAGCUAUUUGAGCCAGUAAAGGGGGCUUUACUAUUCUUAGGUAGCGGAAUGAAUUUAGCUUCCCUCCGGGCCUGAGGGCACAUGCUCUCUAGUAGGCUUAAAUUGAAUAUGUGGCAAAUAGGAGUAGCAAAAUCAUCUGCAAUUAUCCUCAGUAAUUUUCCAAAAAAUAUCUAUUUUAAUUCCAGGUUGUAAGGCAACAAAAUAGGAAAAAUGUGAAGGGAGGUGAAUACUUUCGCAAGCCACUGUACUUAGGCCAAUUCUGGGCAGUCAUUCAUUUUGAUUCCGGGUCGAGUCCGACACCCGCUUCUGGGCCGAUUCCUCAUUGCUAGCUGGGAUGAAAACAGCCUAACCAGUGCUGCUACUGCGAGUGAAUUGGUCAGAGUUUGGGUGGGGGCUGAAGCUUAAGAUGAUUAUUAUGGCAUUAUACACGGUCAUUGUGAACCAGAGUGACUUGACACAGCAAAGAGCCAAGCAACGGAAACGACACAGGACAUCUUAUUUAAAAUUCACCCAUGUAUACUGGUAAGAGUCUAGCUACAGUUUCAGAUAUUAUACUUUUCUUUCGACAGAAAGUUGUUUUCAUUGCAAGUUAAAGCAUAUUGUUGACUAGCUAACAUUGAACCUAUUUGGUUAACGUUAGCUAGCUAUGACAAUCGGUUUUUAUUGCUAAUACUCAAUGGACUGGGAUUAUGGUUUAGGAAUCGAUGGCAACACGUUUUGAUUAUUUCAUUGACCUCCAACAUGAUUGGCACUACUUUUAUUGAUCUCACAUUACUUCUGUAUUUUCCAGAGGUAUGUGUAGUGUGUUAUCUUUUUAACUUUUUUUAUUUUGAACUUUCCAAGAUUAUGUUUCUGUAUGCAGUGCUGCUGCUCUGCACAUUUGUAGGUGCACUAUCCUUCUGACCCCAUGCAGCCAGGUCCCAUCUACUUUUUAACUCCUCGUAAGUGUGGCUUGUU
rnacentral:lncRNA from 1 species